CCAUCAGCAGCGCGCGGUAAUACGGAGGAUCCAAGCGUUAUCCGGAAUCAUUGGCUUUAAAGGGUCCGUAGGCGGUCUUAUAAGUCAGUGGUGAAAGCCCAUCGCUCAACGAUGGAACUGCCAUUGAUACUGUAGGACUUGAAUGCUUAGGAAGUAACUAGAAUAUGUAGUGUAGCGGUGAAAUGCUUAGAUAUUACAUGGAAUACCAAUUGCGAAGGCAGGUUACUACUAAGUGAUUGACGCUGAUGGACGAAAGCGUGGGGAGCGAACAGGAUUAGAUACCCUGGUAGUCCACGCCGUAAACGAUGGAUACUAGCUGUUCGGAGCAAUCUGAGUGGCUAAGCGAAAGUGAUAAGUAUCCCACCUGGGGAGUACGCACGCAAGUGUGAAACUCACA
rnacentral:rRNA from 1 species